UAUUCGGUAUUUGCCUUUAUCUACAUCUAUCGUUUGAUAAAGUUUAAAAGUAUUUAAAAUGUACUUGCACCUUUCACUGUUCAUAGGUAGAAAAGAAAUUGAUUUCGACACUUUCUUGCUCGUAUUUUGUAUGCAUUGCGUGUUUUCCAGUAAUCGUAAGAAUAAAGUCUGUAGUGUAGUUUUAUGAGGAUCCGACAUACUCGAAACAUUUGCUCAGAGCGAAACCUUUCCAGACGCGAAUCUGAUUUUUAUUGUAGUCUCUUCUGUUAGAAUAUCAUGCCUCUUUGAAAUACAUUUUUACAGAUGAAAAAUAAUAUUGGUCCCUCGUUAAACUAAUUCCAGGAUUUGUCAGAGAAGGGACAAUCUGCUGAUUUAGGGACACUGGACCUGCACGUUACCAACGGAUCUUUACACCUUCAAUGGAUCCUCCAAUCGAUGUGAGACGGGCACACGCCUGAAUGCAAUCAAACACAGGUUUUUGAAGUUAUUCUUUCAAAAUGCGGAAGUUUACACGAAGCAUUUAAAGAGGAUGAUGCACCCGGCGGGCCCUCCUCCGCCCCUCCCUGGAAGUCAGAGGAAAGGAUGCCAUUAAACCAGGUCGUUGCGAGUUAAAAUAAAGCAAACAAUUAUUUUCGCCUAGCAGAGCUGCAUCUUCCCGUUGUUUCCGCGGUGAUUCACACCGGCAGCGGUGGACCAGAGGCAGAGGCGGGCGGGCUGCUCUUCCCCCUCCGGCGGGGGGACGGGGGCUCCGCUGCCAGCGGCGGCUCGGGGUGUUGCGCGGCGCGGAGAGGGGCGCGCAGGUAGCGCGGCGGGAGCCGGAGCCGGAGCAGCGCUGCCUGCUCCCCCGCCGCGGCCCCGCAGUGACCCCAGCCCGGGGCUGCCGAGAGGCAGCAAAAUGCUAGGUUUAGAAGACUGCGAGCCAGUUUCCUGCAUACUACUAUAAUUAAUUUGCGUGCGGAGAUCAAAGAUCCGAGGGCGAAGGAAAUAAUCGAUUCUGCCAGAAAACGCUUUCCCGGCGCAGCCCACGGUCAGCCGCCACCCACGGCAGGUCCAGUGCUGUUCUGUUCCCCCGCCACCCUGCACGGUGGCCCUCCCAGAGCGCCCGUCCUGCUCCCCUCCACCGAGUUCCCUGAACACACCCGCUGGCCAAACACCUUCCCGAGGCUGUGGUGCUCGAGUCUCCCUCCCUCUUCAGUAGAAAUGAAGCAGACUACGAGGGAUGAAAUGGGUCCAGGCUGAAACUCCACUCGCCGUAUUUAUUUUGUGCAAUUCGAUGCAGGCCCUCUCAUUUCAGCUGUUUGAAACGAUGUGUCACUAGGAAGAGGUCACAGGUGACUGGCAAGUUCAACCUACUUAGCUCAAUUAUCCAAGUUUCAUUUCCAAAUUGUGUUCAAUUUGAUCUUCCUGCUUCCCUCCAAAUUAUUGCAGAGAAAAAAAAAUCAAAUGAAAGCAGACAAUUUAAGCCAAAUCCUGUAUACCAUUAUUUAUAUGCAAAACCAUUUUUGUGAUAUAUGCUCCCCUUAAUGACUAUGGAAUGCCAGAUCUUUCCAAGCGAAUUUACAAACCUAGCCAUCAAAUUAUUUCAAAGGCAGGCCUAUUAGGGACAAAAAUAAUUAUGAACUUUCAGAAGCUUUGUAAAAACAGAAGUUUCUGAAUGUUGUCUCUUUAAAUUUUUCUUUAGUUUGUUUUUAAUUUAAGCCUGGAGGCACAGUAAGAGAGAUACGCAGAGUCUAAUAAGGAGUUUGGAAAAUAAUGUGCCGUAAUCCAGUGCCGAGCUACUUCUCCAUAAAAUAUGGAUAAGGAAUCAAUUCAUAAGCACAAAUAUCUACUAGGAUGGAGUUUUAACAAACAUUUCACAUCAGCAUUCUUAUAUGCAUUAUUAAGGAGAUAACAAAAGUGCUUCGAAUCAAGCCCUAUACAGUCACAUCUGGAAAUGGUCUUUUCUGUCUAAUUUUCAUUUUUUUUUUCUCUCAAAAAAAUGUUAGAAGAAAAACUAGUCUGUCCCCUUGUAUAUUAAUUGUUACCAUCAGCUUUGAAUCAGCUACAUGUAUAGUUAGACUCACAGAAUCCAUUCCACGUUGCCCCUUUAGUGAAGAGUAAAAUGAAGAUGGUGUCUUUAUUCAUUUAUGGAAUCUGAUGUUAGAACCAAACCCACACACAAACAGCAUAUACAUUGCUCUAUGCUUUAGGCAGGCGUGUAGAUACAUAGACACAACACACUUACACAUGGAAACGAGUCAUGACCAUGCCUUGGAAAACAUAAUAAAAAGUAUCUGUGCAUUUCACCAUAUCCUGAAUCAGACAUCAUCAGAUAAGAAGCAACCUAGGGAAAACUAGUUUAUAAUCAGACACAGCUAAUUUCUGAAGGCACUGGAUCAGUAUCAGGCUUUGCUGUAUGGUGCUUAAGCACAAUUUUGAAGAAAGCUUUUCAGGCUUUUUAGUCAAGUAAAGCAUUACUAUGAAGGAAAGAAAGGUAAAUAAACUCCCCUCAGGUUGCAAAGAGAUUAUACACGUUUGGUUAUUUUUUUGUCCUAAUGUAUAGGAGUAUUUUUUUUUUUUUCCUAAUGUAUAAUUAAUGGAAUUGCAUUCUCAGGACAAAGAUAAAAGAAGUAUCUAAGAUCUACCACUACUACUAUUUUUAUUUUUUUAAAAUAAAUAUGGUAUUUUUCCUUUGAAAGGAAAGGCAAGCAAAGUGUUUUCCAAACAGAAGUAGCAAAAACUAUUUAGAAGAAAAAACAUAAGCAAUGUGUUUUUUAAAUACUCUGGAGUUUUCUGAACAACUCUGAUGUGCUCACAUUCUUAUCACAACUAUUUUCUUUUUACUAUUGUAAGUGGAUAUUCAAGCUAAAUUGAUGCUUUAUGUAUAUCCUGUCUCAAUUUGUAAUACUCUAUUCUCUGUAAGGAGAUAAUUUGAAAAAAAAAUACAAAAAAGAAGAAGUGAUACCACUGACAACAAUUUACUUAAAUUCACAAACCUUGAAAUUGAUGCAUCUCCUAUCAAUCAUAGUCAGAAGCCACAGUAAAACACAUCCAACAUUUGUAUAUCAAAACUGGGACUAAAAAAAACCCGUUUUGUUCAAUUUAAAUGUCCUUCAACAUGUUGUCAUUUUAUACGCUGAUAUUACUGGGGUAUUUUUACUAUGGGUGGGCUUUCUUCUUUCUUCUGUCAAACAUGCAGGACAGUAACCUUGCAAAAUUAAAGUGCAUGCCAUUAUACUGCACAGAUGUUUGUUCUCACUCAGUUACUGACAAUGAAAUACUUAUUAAAUAAUAAUAAGGUGAUAUUGACUUCUCUAUUCUGUCGAUAUGAAGAUCUGUUGAUCUGUGAGGUUAAUAUUGAUGAGGCAGAGUGAGGUAAGCAAAGGAGGGCAAAUAAAUUCCAAUUUACGGAGUUUUAUGGCAUAAAAAAUAACCCCCCCAACCUUGCACAUUAACAGAAACUAAUCCUUUUUUUGUAUUGGUAUAUGAGCACAAAUUCAACCUAUCAGCAUGCACAAGCUACUGCUGAAUUAAAUCCUUGAUGUCGCUUUUAGGAAGCAUAUUCUAAAAAUAAAUACCUUCUACCAUAGGUAUUUAGAACUAAGCUCAAAUGAUGCCAAGCACUUAGGGUCUUCAGUCAGUCUACAUGUUCUGUUGCCAAUGGCACAUUUCCUUUAAGUAUUACUGUGAGGCUACACGU